rnacentral:rRNA from 1 species
CCUACGGGUGGCAGCAGUGAGGAAUAUUGGUCAAUGGGCGCGAGCCUGAACCAGCCAAGUAGCGUGAAGGAUGACUGCCCUACGGGUUGUAAACUUCUUUUAUAAAGGAAUAAAGUGAGGCACGUGUGCCUUUUUGUAUGUACUUUAUGAAUAAGGAUCGGCUAAAGCCGUGCCAGCAGCCGCGGUAAUACGGAGGAUCCGAGCGUUAUCCGGCUUUAGUGGGUUUAAAUGGAGCGUAGAUGGGUUGUUAAGUCAGUUGUGACAGUUUGCGGCUCAACCGUAAAAUUGCAAUUGAUACUGGCAGUCUUGAGUACAGUUUAGGUAGGCGGAAUUCGUGGUGUAGCGGUGAAAUGCUUAGCUAUCACGAAGAACUCCGAUUGCGAAGGCAGCUUACUAAACUGCCACUGACAUUUAUGCUCGAAAGUGUGGGUAUCAGACAGGAUUAGAUACCCCAGUAGUC